ACGCUGGCGGCGUGCCUAAUACAUGCAAGUCGAACGGUCUUUUCUAUGGAAGCUUGCUUCCACUGAGAAGAUAGUGGCGAACGGGUGAGUAACACGUGGGUAACCUGCCCAUAAGAGGGGGGAUAACAUCCGGAAACGGGUGCUAAUACCGCAUAGUUUUUCUUGAUCGCAUGAUUGAGAAAGGAAAGACGGCCUUUGUGCUGUCGCUUAUGGAUGGACCCGCGGCGUAUCAGUUAGUUGGUGAGGUAACGGCUCACCAAGACGAUGAUACGUAGCCGACCUGAGAGGGUGAUCGGCCACAUUGGGACUGAGACACGGCCCAAACUCCUACGGGAGGCAGCAGUAGGGAAUCUUCCGCAAUGGACGAAAGUCUGACGGAGCAACGCCGCGUGAGUGAAAGAAGGUUUUCGGAUCGUAAAACUCUGUUGUCAGAGAAGAACAAGUUGGAGAGUAACUGCCCCAGCCUUGACGGUAUCUGACCAGAAAGCCACGGCUAACUACGUGCCAGCAGCCGC
rnacentral:rRNA from 1 species